UACGUAGGGUGCAAGCGUUAAUCGGAAUUAUUGGGCGUAAAGGGCGCGUAGGCGGCUUGGCAAGUGGAUGGUGAAAUCCCUCGGCUUAACCGAGGAACUGCCGUCCAAACUGCUUUGCUUGAGACCGGGAGAGGUGAGUGGAAUUCCCAGUGUAGCGGUGAAAUGCGUAGAUAUUGGGAGGAACACCAGUGGCGAAGGCGGCUCACUGGACCGGUACUGACGCUGAUGCGCGAAAGCGUGGGGAGCAAACGGG
rnacentral:rRNA from 1 species